UAUACUUUAUUAUUGUGUUGUAAUUAAGAAUUAAUUAACCAAACUCCAAAACAUCAUUAACGUACACAAAAACCCAAACCCAAACCCUACUCUCUCAGCAAUCAGCAUGCCACAACUACCAUACCAGCAGCUAUCAAUUUGUGGGGUUGAUCAUCAAUGGCUGAGUUUGUUGGUCUGAGGUUGUACAGUUGCUGUAACUGUAAAAACCAGGUUGCUCUUCAUGAUGAUGUCAUUUUUAAAGCAUUUCAGGGAAAAAAUGGCAGAGCAUUUCUAUUCUCGCAUGCGAUGAACGUGCUUCGACUGUCACGAGGUGCUGGGGUGGAAGUAUGAACGCGCUUACGAAGAAACACAGAAGUAAGGGAAGUUCAUACUUGGAAAAAUCAAAGAUCAUGAAGGAAAACUGGUAGCCUACUCUGUAUAGUAGUUUGAGUGUCUGUUGGUGUUCAGUGGGUGGUAUGUGGAUGUUCAUACAUCCUAGUAUUGAUAAUCAUUCCCUUCAACAAAAAAUCUUCAUUUAUUGUUCGUCAAUGCUGUGGUUUCUUGUCUGGAAUUAUUGUAUUGAAAAUCAUGGAUGUUUGAGAUCAUUUGUUAGUUAAUAUACAUUGAAAUUCACAAUUCUUCUUAUU